GCCAAAAAUCUAGCCNUNUUCUUCCCCNCACCUACCUACUUAAACAAAAUAAAAUAUUCUCUAAACCUAGUAGAGAAGAUCGAAAAACUUCUAAGAGCUAUAAAAAUGUACCGCAAGGGAAAGAUGAAAUAAAAAUGAAAUAUAUNUCAAGCACAAAAAAAUAGAGACUCACCCUCGUACCUUUUGCAUCAUGGUUUAGCUAGUCUAAUUAGGCAAAAAGAAUNUUAAGUCUAACCCCCCGAAACUGAGUGAGCUAAUUUGGGGCCGCUUAAUGAGCUAACCCGUCUAUGUAGAAAAAUAGUGGGAUGACCCCAAAUUAGAAGUGAUAAACCUAACGAACUCAGUUAUAGCUGGUUUCUCAAGAAAAGAAUCUUAGUUCCGCCUAAAGCAACAUAAAUUUUUCCANAAAUUCCCCCAAGCNNNNNCUUUAGAGUAAGUCAAAUAAGGUACAGCCUAUUUGACACAGGACACAACCUUUAAUAACGGGUAAAACAACUUUAAACAUNNNNNAAGUGGGCCUAAGAGCAGCCACCUUUUAAAAAGCGUCAAAGCUUANNNCACAAUUCCUNAAUUCCUAAAACAUUAUUGACCCCUUCAUUUCUAUUGAGAACUCCUAUAAUUUUNAUAGGACCUUUUAUGCUAAAACUAGUAACAAGAGGUCAUCNCCUCUCUAAAAUGUAAACUCAAACCAGCUUGAACCCAUCACUGGCACCCAACAGAUUUUANACUAAAGUAAUAACUNGUUCUAGAAAACAUUACUUCACCANNNNUUACUGUUAACCUAACACAAGAACAUUUUAAGAAAGAUUAAAAGAAAAAGAAGGAACUCGGCAAAUAUUAAGCCCGCCUGUUUACCAAAAACAUCGCCUCUUGCCCCCACAUAAGAGGCCUAGCCUGCCCAGUGAUUUNUAUUCAACGGCCGCGGUAUCCUAACCGUGCGAAGGUAGCGUAAUCACUUGUCUCCUAAAUAGAGACUAGUAUGAAAGGCAUCACGAGACUUAUACUGUCUCCUUUCUCUAAUCAGUGAACCUAAUCUCCCCGUGAAGAAGCGGGGAUAAUUAUAUAAGACGAGAAGACCCUAUGGAGCUUAAAACAGUCCUACACGUGCUNACACAACUCUUCAACCAAGGUNCCUCCCCCUCCCCCCGNCACGCUGAUUACAUGUUUUUGGCUGGGGUGACCGCGGAAAAUAAACUACCCUCCACGAUGAAAGUGGCACCUCCCACUAAAUAACAAGUCACAACUUUAUCUAUCAAUAAAUUGACAUUAAUUGACCCAAUAAUUUNGAUCAACGAACCAAGUUACCCUAGGGAUAACAGCGCAAUCCACUUUAAGAGCCCUUAUCGACAAGUGGGCUUACGACCUCGAUGUUGGAUCAGGGUAUCCUAGUGGUGUAGCCGCUACUAAAGGUUCGUUUGUUCAACGAUU
rnacentral:rRNA from 1 species